GUAAAAAUAACAGAAGCAAUUGCCUAAAAUUCAAUGUAAAACUGAUGUCACCGGGUGACCAUGAUAGGGCGGAACCAAAAGUGGCGAAGAAAGGUUCCGCCUGAAGAUGGUUUCCGCCCGGGCCCGGUUUUUAACUGCACCAUUUUACUUCCUGGUCUCCCUAGCGACACAGAUGAUGGACAAACGAGCAACAGGUGUGACAAAUCAAGCUGAGCACUCAUGAUUGGAGGAGGGAACAGGCGACGCACAUAAAAAGGCCCAAAGAAGCCCAAAGAGGGAAGUCGUUUCGGGCACGAGUUGCUGCACUGCCUAGGGCAGACCCGAUCACACGCUCCGUCCUUAGAGGAGCCGGAGGGCGCCGUUGAUCCACGGAAGUGCUUAUAGCACAAGGAAAGAGUGCGGCAGCCAAGAAAGGCGAAAAGGACGGAGCGGUGGAUUUUAAAGCAAAACUGCACCGGAACGUGCUUGUUGUGUGCUUUGUGUACGCUUGUGUUGCUGCUUUGCAGACGGACUACGCUGGUCUGAUCGUUCCCCUGGGGAAGAGAGAAAAGGAAAGUCAGCUGGGCAAAGGAAUACUGGGUGAUUUCACUCGUGAGUGAGCGGAUACAGAGCUAUUGAGUUUGCAGAAACAGGAAACUAUUGACAAACGAAGAGUGAGUAACAGUUGUAGUAAUUCUCUGUGUGAUACCUGGAAGAAGAGUUUGCUUGGUGUGUGUUUUUUUUGUGUUUGAGGUCCCUGGCCCCACUGGAGAGGGAAGCGUGGGCGAGCCGCGGGUUGACCGGAAACACGGAAGAGAUACUUGGUAAGAAGCGCCGUUUAUUAAUAGAGCAGUGGCCCUGCGGGAAAAGGAAGCGCGGGUGAGCCAGAGGAGUCAUAAACAACACGCCGGGGCUGUGAAUAACAUACAUCUUGCUCUCAUCGGUAGCCUAACCAUCGCCCAACAAUCCUCUCGAGGGAGUCGAAGUCAGGUGGCUAGGUCGAUUAAAAAAUCACGUGAAGUGUGUACAAGAAUGCUGUGGGUGAGUUUCACUUAUUGAUGGUGUUUACGCUAUGCUUGCUGUGUGUAUGCUGUGCUUGUAGCAACCAAACUGCCCAGCCUCGGACGAGUCGCGAGAUGACGACAUCUGUUGUGGCCUGAGUCCUACGGAGAGGGAGAAUACCAAGCCUUGUGCCCCGGGUGUGUCAACGAGAGCUUCACUCCUCCAAAGAGCAGACAGUGGUGAAACCCAGUGAGUAUUGUAGAAAGUGCACCGUGCGGAUCGAAGGUCAUAGCUGUGUGUGUAUUGACUUUUCUAACAGAAGCUAGUGGUGUGCGGAGCCCCGACGAGAGUUCGCCCCAACUCGAGACCCCGGUCGUGGAAGUAGGAGGGGGAGUUUGGGAAGCGUUCGGCUCCGCGCCACUGGACCUACCAGUCCCUACGACGCCCGGACAGCUUGAGUGGAUGGGCGAAGGAAUACGGUGCACCAACGCUGUAGCGAAAGUCCACUGUCUGUGAGUGAGCGUAAAGAUCCCCAGUACACGAAGGCACUGUGUGUGAGAACGAAGAUCCCCAGUGCUGUGAGUAACGCAUCCUGUGAAGUGAAAUGAAUCUGUGCUAUAGCAACCACUUACCUGUGUCUCGACGAAGGCUCCGUGUGAAGCGAAGGUCCCCAGUCCCUGUCCCAAGUGGCCCUGGAGGCGAGAAGAAGACCUAUUAGUUUUAAAUUGCCCUUUCCCCUCUCCCCCUUUCCCUUUUCCUUUUUUUUAAAUAUUUAAUAAAGUUUAUUUUAAACGUA